CUGGUUUCCUCUUUCUGGUGCAAAGUGGGCCAAAAACAAAGAAGAGAGACGGACUCGCGACAGAAAAGCCGAUCAGCUGAUCAUUAAGGAGUUUCAUGAAGUAGCGGCAGGAGAGGGAGAGAGAAGAGGCAGUCGCUCCAUAUAUCGGUGGUUAAGCUUAACGCAGGUCAGGUUGCAGCAACUCCACCGACUGCAUGACCUGUCAUAGAUGAAUUCUCUCACUGUCCUUCUUAUUUUGUCUCUGAGUUCAGCAUCUACAGGCUUAAAAGAGAUAAAUGUGCAGGCAGACAGGAACGCCCAGCUGGAGUGUCAGGGUCCUAAAAAAGGCAAAAUUGUCCCGUUAGAGUGGAAAAGACUCGAUCUGCUGUCGGAUGGAUAUGUCUUCUUCUACCGAGAUGGUCAUCUGCAUAAAACCUUCCAGCAUCCUAUUUUUAGAGAUGGAGUGGAACUGAGAGAUCCACAGAUGAAAAAUGGAGACAUGGCCAUCAUUUUGUACAACACCACCAUUAAAGACUCUGGGACAUAUGAGUGCCGUAUCAUCACACAAAACACAAGAGACAGUAGCAGCCCUACCUUUGAGAUCAAGCAUGAAAUCAGGCUGACAGUUGUUCCUCCAGGUCAACCAAAGAAAGUCACAGUGGUUAGAGAUGAGGAGAAUGGAAGUAAGGAUGUUGGGAAUGAGGAUGGAAGAGAAGGAGGAUUUAUUGGACUGGCAAGUGGUCUGCCAGUUUUGGUGGUGAUUCUUAUUUUUGUGUUGUCUUACAAACUAAGAAAAGCCUGUUGUGAUUAAAAAAAGAAAACAAGAUUUGACUAAGAACAAACUAUAGUCGGUAGUAUAAUUGCUGUCAUUAGUAAUAAUGCUAGCAAAUAUGCUAGCAUUUUUAUUAAGGAAACACCAGGGUGACUGAUUGCAUGUACAUGUUUAAAGAUUUGAAAAAGUAGAAACAAACAAAUGAAAGCAAACAGAGUGAGUUGUCUGGAGCGUUCAGCUCCUGGUAGGGUCUCAAUGACAAACAGGUCCCAGGUUAUAAGCUAGACUAAGAGUAAUUCAUACACUGCAGUAUUUACAAUUCACACUGUAAACGUUCAUAUUUUACUCUUAAAUUCAUUCACUAACAUGGUGUAAAAAGAAAUUCUUUACUUGUUGUUGAACUAUGAUUUAGUAAAAA
ensembl:lncRNA